rnacentral:lncRNA from 1 species
CUUUUGUCUUUUUGGGGCCACAGCCGCUGCAUAUGGAGGUUUCCAGGCCAGGGAUUGAAUCCACAUCCUCAUUGAUGCUGGUUGGGUUCAUUAACCACUGAGCCACAACAGGAACUCCAACUUCCUGGCUCCUUUUAAAGUCCUUCUUCCCACCACUGUGAUUCUCCUUUCUCUCCACUCCCCCCUUUUUUUGCUAUUAGCAACAUUUCUCAACCCCUACCCUCUACCACUGGAAACAAUUUUUCCCGUUUUAUUAUACAGAACAAUUCAACUUUCUCAAUUUCAUAUCCCUAAACGCAGCCUCCCAUCCACCUGUGCAUAUCCAACUCCCAUUAUUGUAUCACAGCACACAUGGGCUGUCUACCUAGAGCCUCAGCCCUUUUCUUGAUACCAUAUAAAGAUUUACAUCCCCAUUGACAGGAAUUACGGUGACUCUUUAAAGGACAUAGUGGUAGUAGUUUAAGAUUUAGGUAACAUUUUAAAAUUUCCUUGUAGAUAGGCACAUAAAUCUGGAAGUCAUUCUUACUCUUUGGUCCUUCCCUCCCUCCUUCCUCUUUUUCUGCUCUUCUAUAAGCUGUCUCUACAGGUAUUUUCUAGCAAUCUUGUGGCACUCCAUGAUAACACUGCUACUUGAAUUAAAACUCAACAAAAAGAGAUAAAGCUGAUGAAAAGGCUUGCUAGUCCAUGGUAUACUUUGUUUUCUGGCUAAGCCUAUAACACAGGGCAUCUUCUAGAGCUGGAGUGUUUCCAGGACAAGAACUUGGAGAAAGGCUAUUGAAAGGAUGACUCAUCCUCAUAUCUUGCUGAUAACCAUUCUCUAAUUCUACUAACUACUCCAGGCCUUUAAAAGGAAGUGUGAAUAAAACAUUCGAUUAAAACAUUAAUUUUGGGAGUCCCCACUGUGGCUCAGUGGUUAACGAAUCUGACUAGGAACCAUGAGGUUGCGGGUUCCAUCCCUGGCCUUGCUCCGUGGGUUAAGGAUCCGGCGUUGCCGUGAGCUGUGGUGUAGGUCGCAGACGAGGCUAGGAUCCCGUGUUGCUGUGGUUCUGGUGUAGGCUGGCGGCUACAGCUCUGAUUAGACCCCUAGACUGGAAACCUCCAUAUGCUGUGGGUGCAGCCCUAGAAAAAGGUAAAAAGACCAAAAAAAAGAAAAAGAAAAAGAAAAAACAUUAAUUCUAUAGAAUCACAAACUGACUAUCCCAAAUAUUAAGUUUUCAAAAUAACUACUCAGGCAACAAUUUCCCUAAGCUUCAGGAUUAGUUCCUUCAUUAGACCCCUUGGUCCAAAGGCUUGGGUACCAAACACAUCUCCUAGCUAAAAAAAAAAAGAGCACCUGUCUGAGCAUUAGUGAUGUCAUUUGAUUGGCAUUAUGACUAGGCCUACAUCUGUGUACUUGGGGGUUUAAAGAAUGAUUAAAUGACUCACUUUACUUCCAGAAAUAAAAUCAGAUAGCUUCAUUCGUUCAAAAUACAUACAUUCACAGAGCACCUUCCUUAUGUUCUUUGUAAUGUGCAAUGCAAUGUGCUUAAGAUACAAGAAUCAAAUAAAACAUAAUAUCAGCCCUCAAGGAACUUAAAGCCUAUUGAGGAAGACAAAUUAAUCAAAGACCAUUCAUGUGAGAAUCUUGCAAAUGGCUAAGUCUGUAUGUAACUUUUCAGGUCUGUUGUUUACCUUUUGUUUGUUUUUUCCAAAGCACUUAGAGGUAAAAUACAAUUACAAGGCUCUCGUGUUUAUUUUAGAGCCCUUUCACUAAUGCCCAAGAUAUACAUCUUAGAGUAGACAAGAAAUCCAGACCAUCCCAUUGACGGGCAUUCUUUCAGUUCCAUGAAUGUGGCAAGCUCAUUUCUGCUUCAAGGCUUUUUUACUAGCUGUUUCCUGACCCAGGCAUGCAAAGAAGCAUUGAGUGUGAACAAUCUUGGCCUAGGUAUUCUGGUAUGAAAGGAAAAAGAGAUGGAGAAACACUUAGCAAAUGAUGGAGAGACUUCCAAGUUUAAAAAUCAAAAAUCAAAAUUCUCUUCCCUAGAAGAAACACAAGGGACAACAAGUGGGUGAUUCUUUUCCAGGAACUCAGAGUACCUAUUUGCUUUGGGUUGUGAUACCAGCCUUUUCCUUUAGAGUGUAACUUCAAGGGGAAAGAUGAUUCAUGUUUGUUUGUUGUCUUUUUUAGGGCUGCACCAUAGCACAUGGAAGUUCCCAGGCUAGGGGCUGAGUCGGAGCUACAGCUGUGGCCUUCGCCACAGCCACAGCAAUGCCAGGUCUGAGCUGCAUCUGCAACCUACACCAAAGCUCAUGGCAACACCAGAUCCUUAACCAACUGAGCAAAGCCAGGGAUCGAACCCUUGUCCUCAUGGAUGCUAGUCGGGUUCAUUACAGCUGAGUCAUGACAGGACUCAGAUAAUUCAUGCUUUUAAUUCAAUAAGUGAGGAUAUACAACAGUGACUUCCAAACCUAUGCACCACCUGAGGGCCUUCCACAAAAACAUUCCUGAUUCAAUAAAAUAUGAAAAAAAAUCAUGGCACUUAUAAUUCUAAUGGAAAUUUGAAUACUGAGUGCAUAUUUAAUGGUAGAGUAAUUACUGAUGUUUUAAGAAUAAUAGUGAUAUUGUGGUAAAGUUUUAAAAAGUCUUUUAGUGAUCCAUACUGAAACAGUAUGGUUUCCGUGAGGUCUGGGAUUUGCUUCAAUGUAUCACUGAAGAGGGGACAAUGUUGCAGAAGGGGCAUAAACUAAACAAGAUUGGCCAUGAGUGAAUAGCUAGAUGAUGGGCACAUGGGAUUCAUUAUACUAUUCUGUCUUCUUUGGGAAUGUUUGAAAUUUUCCAUAAGAAAAAUAUUCUCCAAAACAUACUCUAGAGUAUGUUAAUAGGGGAGAAGGGGAGUGAUCUUGUUGAUCACAGCUCAUAUCCUGGGAAUAUAUACUCUCUUUAGGAGCAAAGUAUCUGAUUGAUUUACACAAAGUGCAUUUAACAACCCAAAGCAGAAUUUUUGCAGUACGAAGGAAAAUCUAAUGUCUCAAAGUACAAAAUUUCUUUCAAUUCUAGAUUUCAAAUAAAAUAAAUCACAUUCCAAGAGGAUGCAGGUUUGAUCCCUGUCCUUGCUGUGGGUUAAGGAUCUGGCGUUGCCGUGAGCUGUGGUGUAAGUUGUAGACGCAGCUCGGAUGCUGUGAUGCUGUGUCUGUGGUGUAAGCCAGCAGCUAUAGCUCUGAUUCGACCCCUAGCCUGGGAACCUCCAUAUGCUCUCUUUUGUGCUUAAAGGCCAUGGUUUAGCCAUGUGCUUUGUCAAAGAACGCUCUUCCCCUAUUACCCCAUGGCUGGCUUCUUCAUUCAUAUCUCAACUUCCCCAGUGUUGCCUCUUCAGGAGGGCCUUCCCUGGCACUCCAUCUUCUGUACCCUCACCCCUUACAAUAACUCCCUGUGACCUUUAGCUCCUAUUUCAGAGCACUUAUCACCAAGUGAAACUGCCUUAUUUGUCUACUAAUUUACUGUCUGUUUCCUUUAUUAGGAAUAUAAGAUCUCUGACUGUGGAGCUCUUGUCCAUCUUGUUCAUGGAUGCCCCCUGACCCUUACGUCAGUGUCUGGCCAAAACAGGGACUCAGGACAGAACUUUGAAUACAUGAACUAUGUACAUUUGGAAGGGUACCUUCUUGCACCCCUACAUUAUAUCAGGUACUGCAAAUGCAAAUAUCACAGAGCUCAGAUGGGUGCUAAGUGCAUUGGGCCUUAGAGAAAAAUGGAGACCACCUGAACUGGUCUGAAGGAGGCAGCCGCUCUUGAGCUUGACCUACUACUGCCAGGCUACAGGGAAGAUCUAGAGUAGUCAGAUCUUCCCGUUACUGGGAUGCCAAAUAGAUGAGAUGACAUCCAUUUUUCAUUUCUUCACUUUUUUGCUUUUCACUUUUAUGGCUGCACCAGCAACAUAUGGAAGUUCCCAGACUAGGGGUCGAAUUGGAGCUGCAGGUUCAGACCUAUGCCACAGCCACCGCAAUACCGGAUCCAAGCUGUAUCUGGGACCCAUGCCGCAGCUUGCAGCAAUGUAGGAUCCUUACCCCACUGAGCGAGGCCAGGGAUCGAGCCCAUAUCCUCAAAGAAACAACGCUGGGUCCUUAACCCACUGAACUACAAUGGGAACUCCUAAUCUCUUCACUUUCAAUUGUUAGCAACUAAUUUGAAAAAAAUUUAAAUAGCAUGUGAAUCACCAGUUUGCAAGCUCUGCUUAUCCAGAUCAGACAAUUCAGAGAAGAGUUAAGAGAUACUGAGAAAAGAUAUUCAGAAGAUUGCACCCAAGAGUAUUGUUUGUAAUGGUGAAAAAUGGGAAACAACCUAAACAUCCAUCACUAUGGGAAUUCUCAAAUAAUGUGUGGUAAGCCUAUUUGAUUAGAAUACUAUAUAGUUAAGACAAGUGAAGUCUAGCCAUCUGUAUCAGUGUGCAUAGAUCUCAAAAACAUAGAACUGGGUGAGAAGGCAAGUUGUAGAUCAAUACACAAAACAUAAUAGCAUAAAACUUCAAAAGUUCAAAGUUAUUCUAUAUAUAGUUUACAAAUACUUAGUAAUAAUGAAAGUAUACGAACCUAGAUUAGCAAAAUGCAUUUCAAACAUAAGAC